GGAAUGGGCAAGAGAAAAAUAAAAAGCCCAAUAUGACCCAUAUGUGGCUAGCCCACGAAGAAACGCACGCAGCUGUUCGGGCCACUGCUCGUCCUUUGACCUCGCUCCCUAAUUCUUCUGUCAUCUCGCCGCCACGGCUAGCUUCCUGCCUCUCGCGUGCUCGCUGACCUCGUCGGACGCCGUCCCUGCCUACCUCGCCGUCCCAGGAGUGGAGGAGACGAUUUCUUCUCUGUUUGCCCCGCCCAGCGCUCGGAGUCUCCGUGCAUCUGCGGUUACCACCGCCCUGCGUGUCUGUGCCCCUGCCCAGGUGCGGCAAGCCAGUAGCCGGCAGUGCCCCAUUGCCUGGCGGGCGGUGGCUGGUACCCCUGCAAUCCAGAGCCGCCAGACUAAUCUGCAAUUUGCCACUGUACAAAUUUUCGAUCUGAGAAGUAUUGAAGAAUGAAGAGGACAUGAAACAUCUCUUUUUUCAGAGACAUGCUAUGAACAUAUAGGAAGAAGGCUAGUAUGCCGGAUGUGGCCGAUGCAGAAGAACUAAGCGGAGAACUUGUGGUAGAAAUAAAAACUCAUGAACCAGCAAUGUCUAUGCCGGAUGUGACGAUAGAGCAAGAUCACAUACAUCCAAGGCGAAUGAAGAAGAUAUAAUGUAUUCUUUCAUGGCAAUGCAAAAAGGGUAGGCCAGAAACAUAGUAUUCUUUGAACUUCUCAAGGUAUGUGGUAUGGAACUUGUUGGCUGAAAGAUACUUUGCGUCCUUCUUUUAUGCAAAACUAAGACUUAAUUGAGAAUUCUCAUAAGUUUGUAAGACUUAAUUGUCAAAAAAAUUUGGACCA